AGUCAUACAUGUGCGUUCGCGCGGAGCAAUCCGUGAGGAAAGUCCGGACACCACAGGGCAGGAUUCCCGCCGCAAGUCGGGGCACGUCGCAAGGCGUGACGGAUAGUGCCACAGAGAAGAUACCGCCUCCUCCGCAAGGAACGAGGUAAGGGUGAAAAGGUGGGGUAAGAGCCCACCGCUCGAAGGGUAACCGACGAGGCAAGGUAAACCCAAUCCGGUGCAAGACGAACAGGGACCGUCCGAGGUCGCCCACCAAGGUCCCGGGUUGUCGCACCGCCGCAAGGCGGGUCCGCAAGGUCAGAGAAAUGAACGCGCAGGGGAUCGGCGAGAGCCGCCCAAGGACAGAAUCCGGCUUAUAGUGUAUGACUCAAA
rnacentral:RNase_P_RNA from 1 species